GACGAACGCUGGCGGCGUGCUUAACACAUGCAAGUCGAACGAUGAAGCUGGAGCUUGCUCCGGUGGAUUAGUGGCGAACGGGUGAGUAACACGUGAGCAAUCUGCCCUUCACUCUGGGAUAACUGCGGGAAACUGUAGCUAAUACCGGAUACGAGACCUUGGGGCAUCCCAGGGUCUGGAAAGAAUUUCGGUGAAGGAUGAGCUCGCGGCCUAUCAGCUAGUUGGUGAGGUAAUGGCUCACCAAGGCGACGACGGGUAGCCGGCCUGAGAGGGUGACCGGCCACACUGGGACUGAGACACGGCCCAGACUCCUACGGGAGGCAGCAGUGGGGAAUAUUGCACAAUGGGCGAAAGCCUGAUGCAGCAACGCCGCGUGAGGGAUGAAGGCCUUCGGGUUGUAAACCUCUUUUAGUAGGGAAGAAGCGCAAGUGACGGUACCUACAGAAAAAGCACCGGCUAACUACGUGCCAGCCGCCGCCGUAAGAC
rnacentral:rRNA from 1 species